CGGUGGAGCAUGUGGUUUAAUUCGAAGCAACGCGCAGAACUUACCAGCCUUGACAUGGGGAUCGCGGUCACGGAGACGUGACCUUCAGUUCGGCUGGAUCCCGCACAGGUGCUGCAUGGCUGUCGUCAGCUCGUGUCGUGAGAUGUUGGGUUAAGUCCCGCAACGAGCGCAACCCUCGUCCUUAGUUGCCAGCAUUGAGUUGGGCACUCUAAGGAAACUGCCGGUGACAAGCCGGAGGAAGGUGGGGAUGACGUCAAGUCCUCAUGGCCCUUACGGGCUGGGCUACACACGUGCUACAAUGGCGUCUACAGUGGGCAGCGAACCGGCGACGGUAAGCUAAUCUCCAAAGGACGUCUCAGUUCGGAUUGUUCUCUGCAACUCGAGAGCAUGAAGUCGGAAUCGCUAGUAAUCGUGGAUCAGCAUGCCACGGUGAAUACGUUCCCGGGCCUU
rnacentral:rRNA from 1 species